GACGAACGCUGGCGGCGUGCUUAACACAUGCAAGUCGAACGGAAAGGCCCUGCUUUUGUGGGGUGCUCGAGUGGCGAACGGGUGAGUAACACGUGAGUAACCUGCUCUUGACUUUGGGAUAACUUCAGGAAACUGGGGCUAAUACCGGAUAGGAGCUCCUGCUGCAUGGUGGGGGUUGGAAAGUUUCGGCGGUUGGGGAUGGACUCGCGGCUUAUCAGCUUGUUGGUGGGGUAGUGGCUUACCAAGGCUUUGACGGGUAGCCGGCCUGAGAGGGUGACCGGCCACAUUGGGACUGAGAUACGGCCCAGACUCCUACGGGAGGCAGCAGUGGGGAAUAUUGCACAAUGGGCGGAAGCCUGAUGCAGCAACGCCGCGUGCGGGGUGACGGCCUUCGGGUUGUAAACCGCUUUCGCCUGUGACGAAGCGUGAGUGACGGUAAUGGGUAAAGAAGCACCGGCUAACUACGUG
rnacentral:rRNA from 1 species